rnacentral:lncRNA from 1 species
UCGUCUCACUACACCAUUGGACCAUUGAAUCGUAAGCUCUGAUACCACUUGUUGGGUUUGAAAUCGAGAAGGCGUCAUGCGGAAGCUAUUAGUUGCAAACUAUGAGACAAUAAAUAAGAUGACAACGUGACCUACAUAUAAAAUCCAAUAUAAAAACAUAAAAACUAAUGAGAGAGAAAAGCUCCCCUAAAACAAAGACUCUUUAAAGACUACAUUGUGGAUGCUAUUGUGUUAUGGUAUGAGAAGAACAAAGACUCACUACAUUG